rnacentral:ncRNA from 1 species
CUGAGCGUAAUGCGGGGAAACUCGCACGUUACGUUCUUUGAAGAGAGCCUCUCAGCAAUGGGUCGCUCUUACUCAAC